AGGACUCUGUCUCAUAGACUUCAAUCAUCUGUGGACUUGCGGUGAAUGGCAUUUCUAAUCAAUCUCUUGAACUUUUCUCUCAAAUAUUGAGAGAAGGUACAAGGCUAACCAUGGAACCUUUGUUGGCAAAUUACCCGCUCGUGCUCGUGCUGGUUUGUUGGAUAAAUUGGAAUGUUUUUCACAGUAUACAAAAUGAUUACGGGUCAUACCAGAAAUGAAAACAUUAUGGGUGUGCGGUCGAUCUUUUAGCUUGCGCUGGCAAUCUAUCAAUGGCAUACGAGUUCAUAAAGCAUAUGCAACAGUCGAUCAUAGAGCUGCAAGGAAGUUUAUAGAAGGGUAUGCAAACCAAACAUGCAAAGGAGAUUCUGAUUGUGGAUGUAGAUGUUUACCAUCUAUCAGUUGCAAAGGAGCUUUGAGCAAAUGAGACCGUCAAAGUUUCAGCUGUUAUGAAGGUUAGUUUGUUUUUGCAUGAAAUCUCCUAGUUAUAUGGAGACUAAGACGAGCCAGUACAUCAGAGUACUGGAGAAGAACCUAUAGAAGGGAUUUAGUGUCAGUGUAGGAAGAUCAGAGUGGACUCCAAUGGGAUUGCGUUAUCAUAACUUAACAUGUUGGAAGCAAUGGGACUGCUGCAGUGACUGUAGCUAUCAUUGCACGUUUGCUAUGGAAGAAGAUAGAUGAAAACCUGGUCACAAGCCUGCCAUAUAUUGUAGGAAUGGCCUUUGCAGGGUAUUUAUUGGAUCAAGGUAUCUACAUGCUUUUCCAUAGACUUUGGUUAUCCUCAUUUAUUGAAAUUUGAUAUAGCUGAAUAAUAGUUUAUCAAUAAGUAAAACAUUUGUUUGAUGAUAUCGGGAACCUGUUUCUAUGGCUA